rnacentral:rRNA from 1 species
UGAAAACAUGAUAAAAGAUAAAGUGAUCUUAAUGAGUAUUUAAGCAGGCUGUAAGAAGGAGUGUCAAGAGGCAUAAAUAUUCGUAAGUAAGGAUAGAUUGAGAGGAGAAAUUCGAGUAAGGGAUACGGUGAACUGAAACAUCUAAGUAACUGUUAAGAAAGAUCAGAAGAGUUACUGGGAGUAAGGGCGAUAUAAACCAGUAAAGGUAAGAGAGAAGAGACAAGGAGAUCCGUCUUCAAGACCAUAGAGUACAGUCUAGCGAUAGAGUAGAGUAACGUGAGUGAAAGAUAACGAGUUGAGAUCAUAUAAGCAGAUAGAGUCUAAAGAGAUGAUAUUGUACCUUUUGCAUAAUGGCGGGUUAACUGAUUUAAUAUAGCGAGAUUCGAAACAAUGAGAAGAGUCCUACCGAUAAGGAGUAUAGUUAUAUAAAAGAGACCUAAAACGACGUGAUCUAAAGUUGAUCAGGAUAUGAAUUAGUCCGAACAAGUGGCUGUUGCAUUAGCCUUUGAGGAAUUGAUUUUAGUAGUGAAAAGCUAAUCGAACGUCGUGAUAGUUGGCUGUCUGCGAAACAUGUUAUAGCAUGACCUAUCAAGGAAGAGGGAACAGUACGAGUAUAGUAAAGAUUCACAGAAAGAGAAUAGGGCAUUAAUGAAUGUAUCUAUGUGAGUUUACCUCAGAAAAGUAUUGUUUAAGUGUGAUAGUUUCAGAAGUACGAUGAUAAGGUCGUAAGUCAAGAGGGAAACAGCCCAGAGUGUAAGGUUAAGGUUCCGAAUAAGCAGAAUAAGUAGUGUGAAGGAAGUAUGAGAUCAAUGGACAAUCAUGAGAUGUGACUGGAAACAUCAAUUCUUUAAAGAGUACGUAACAGUACAAUGAUCGUGAUGUGUAAUAUAUGUUAUGAAUCUAAGAAGCAUACUCCGAAGAUAUACGGACUUAAGAUAUAAACCGAGACAGCACUAAAUACUUAUAUAUGAGAGGAUAUAAGAUAUGUGAAGGUAGCAGACCGUUCCUGUAAGGAGUAGUUAAAUGUGUUUCAUAUUUAAUAUAUGGGGAGGAAGUGAGAAUGACUCGAUGAGUAACGCAAAAUGUAGAAACAUUCAUCUUAAGUCUAUGAUUUGCUAAGUAUACAGAUAUAUAGUGUAAUACGGUAUCUAAGCUGAAGCUAAGGAGCAUAAAGUAAUGAUAAAUGAGGGAGCAGGAAAAGAGGAAGACCGUAUCAAGCAACACAGCAAGACUGAUAUAAGAGUAUCAAGAUGAUAGCUAAAUACAUGUUAAGGAACUCGGCAAACUAGCUCUGUAACUUAGAGGAUAAGGAGUAGUAAAUAUAGGGUAGAUAGAGCCAGAAGAAGGUGAUAUAAUGAUAUAUAUACUCACAGAUAAUAGUAGGGUGCGACUGUUUAACACAAACACAGAGCUCUGCUACGGCGGAAGCCUAAGUAUAGGGUUUGACUCUUGCUCAGUGUCAAAUUUAGACUAAGAGAUAUAAAGUGUUUUAGGGGCGCUAGUAUCACUUAAGAAAUAAUAAGAUCAACAGCAGUCUUAACUAUAAGGAUUCAAAGGUAGCGAAAUUCCUUGGCCAUUAAAUGUGGUCCUGCAUCAAUAGAGUAACGAUGCUCUAGCUGUCUUAACAUGUAUGCUAGUGAAAUUGAAUUCGUCGUGCAGAUGCGACGUAUUCCCUGUAAGACAAGAAGACCCUAUGCAUCUUUACUGCGAAUGAUCAUGACAUGAGUAAGGUGAUAAAAUGUAAGAGUUUACAGUUUAUUGAGUGUUAGAGUCAAGGAAUAGACUUAAAGUGAUGAUAAGGCGGUUUCACUGGGACGGUGGCCUACAAAAAGAUAUCGUAGGCAUGCUAAAGGUAUGCUUAAGUUAGUAGGGAACUAACAUGUAAUGAGAGGCAAGUGAGAGCGCAAUAGUUAAUGCAUGCUUAAAUAUGAGGGACAACAAUAUUCAUAUUCUCUAAUCUAAGAAUGUAGAUUAGAGUGCUAUAGUGACCCUGUCACAUGUAUCGGAUACAGUGACAGAACAACGGAUAAAAGAUACGCUAGGGAUAACAGGGUUAUUGCCGAUGAGAGAACAAAUCGUCUCGGCACUUUGCCACCUCGAUGUCGGCUCAGCACAUCCUACAGGUGAAGAAGCUUGUAAGGGUUAGACUGUUCGUCUAGUAAAGUGCUACGUGAGCUGGGUUCAGUACGACGUGAGUCAGUACGGCUUAUAUCUUCAGGGGAGAGAGAUAAUAACUUCAUAAGAUCUCCUAGUACGAAAGGAUCGGUAGAUGGUGAUCCUCUGGUGUUUCUUUUGUUUUACAAGUAAUGCAUAGAAGAGUAGCUACGAUCAAGGAUUUAAGUAUUGAAAGCAUAUCAAAUACGAAGACCGAUGAAGUAUUAUAGAACGUAUAUAUAAAAUAUAUGGAGUAAAGAGGAUGACUACCUCUAAUAUUUAUAUAUGUAUAUAUAUAUUAAAAAAUUAAUAUAGGCAGUAAGUAAUAUGUUCGAAUAAACCAGCUUAACUGUACUAAUGUAUACUAACUUUUAUCAUGAGCAUA